rnacentral:rRNA from 1 species
AGCCAGACUCCUACGGGAGGCAGCAGUGGGGGAUAUUGCACAAUGGGGGAAACCCUGAUGCAGCGACGCCGCGUGGGUGAAGGAGCACUUCGGUGCGUAAAGCCCUAUCGGCAGGGAAGAAAAGGGGGAAACCCCAGACGGUACCUGACUAAGAAGCCCCGGCUAACUACGUGCCAGCAGCCGCGGUAAUACGUAGGGGGCAAGCGUUAUCCGGAUUUAUUGGGUUUAAAGGGUGCGUAGGCGGGCCGGAAAGGCAGCGGUAAAAGCCGGGGGCUCACCCCCGGCGAGCCGUUGAAACUGUCGGACUAGAGCCGGCGAGAAGUACGCGGAAUGCGCGGUGUAGCGGUGAAAUGCAUAGAUAUCGCGCAGAACUCCGAUUGCGAAGGCAGCGUACCGGCGCCGGACUGACGCUGAGGCACGAAAGCGUGGGUAUCGAACAGGAUUAGAUACCCUAGUAC